rnacentral:rRNA from 1 species
GGAUUAGAUACCCUGGUAGUCCAUGCCGUAAACGGUGGGCGCUAGGUGUGGGGUUCCUUCCACGGGCUCCGCGCCGUAGCUAACGCAUUAAGCGCCCCGCCUGGGGAGUACGGCCGCAAGGCUAAAACUCAAAGAAAUUGACGGGGGCCCGCACAAGCGGCGGAGCAUGUGGAUUAAUUCGAUGCAACGCGAAGAACCUUACCUGGGCUUGACAUAUAGAGGAUCGCUACAGAGAUGUGGUUUCCCUUGUGGCUUCUAUACAGGUGGUGCAUGGUUGUCGUCAGCUCGUGCCG